AGCGAACGCUGGCGGCAGGCUUAACACAUGCAAGUCGAACGGGCAUAGCAAUAUGUCAGUGGCAGACGGGUGAGUAACGCGUGGGAACGUACCUUUUGGUUCGGAACAACACAGGGAAACUUGUGCUAAUACCGGAUAAGCCCUUACGGGGAAAGAUUUAUCGCCGAAAGAUCGGCCCGCGUCUGAUUAGCUAGUUGGUAGGGUAAUGGCCUACCAAGGCGACGAUCAGUAGCUGGUCUGAGAGGAUGAUCAGCCACAUUGGGACUGAGACACGGCCCAAACCCCUACGGGAGGCAGCAGUGGGGAAUAUUGGACAAUGGGCGAAAGCCUGAUCCAGCCAUGCCGCGUGAGUGAUGAAGGCCCUAGGGUUGUAAAGCUCUUUUGUGCGGGAAGAUAAUGACGGUACCGCAAGAAUAAGCCCCGGCUAACUUCGUG
rnacentral:rRNA from 1 species